AGCUAACGAAGGUGUAACCGAUAUGAUUCAUUCCACCACAGAGCAAGAAUUGAAAGAUCAGCUGGCCGCUGAUUCCGAUGAUCUGAAGGAAAAACUGGGAAUCUCUGCUACAGACUCCAGCGACGCCCCGCGAGAGUUACUGUUACCUAACAAGAAGUUAUCAGCUUCAGCUGUUCCAUUCAACCCAUCAUCACCUCCAAGUAUCAUACGUCCUACUCCAAUAGGCAUGAAUAUUGGACCGUCGUGGCCAGUGAACAUGACUCUUCAUCACGGACCUCCUCCUUUCCCAUCACCUCCUGCAACUCCAAAUUUGAUGCAGCCUAUGUCCUUUGUAUACCCUCCUCCUUACACUCAAUCAAUCCCCACAAGUACUUAUCCUGUAACCAGUGGUCCUUUCCAUCCCAAUCAGUUCCCAUGGCCUCAUAUGUCGGAGUUUGUACCAAGAACGGUUUGGCCCGCAUGCCAUCCCGUUGAGUUUUCCCCUCCACACAUGAUCGCUCCCGAGCCAAUAGCUUCGACUGUCUUAGAGCCAACCGUCAUUCUACCAACUGAUAUUGAGACUUCAGGUGUGGAAGAAGGCAAGCAAGAUGUGGCGGCAACCGCGGGUGAAACUAUGGAUUCUGUUAAUCAUGUGAAUGUGUUGGCUAGCAGUGAAAUGGAGAAUGGAAACAAGAAAUUUGAGGAAGGCGAGAAGACGUUUAGCAUUUUGUUAAGAGGAAGGAGAAACAGGAAACAAACACUGAGAAUGCCGAUCAGUUUGCUUAACAGGCCUUAUGAUUCUCAACCGUUCAAGAUUGCUUAUAGCAGAGUCAUCAGAGGCAGCGAGGCUCCCAAGUCCGCGGCUUGAAACCAAAGACUCAGCAUCGUCGAUGAAAUUCAUCACUCACACAUCUCUCUCUGAUCCUUGCUGUUUCUUAGGGGACAGUAUAAAAGGUUAGCUUCUUGGUUGAAUCUUUCUAUAUAUAUAUAUAUACACAUGUAUAAUGCAUAUAUGCUAACUUGAUGAUGUCUUCAUUUCAGGUAAUUUCGUUAUCAGUGAAGCUGUGGCUUGUGAUAGUCUCAGAAUGAUUUGAUCUGGAUUCGAAAGAAGAGAGGUUGAAGAGGGAAAAAAGCUAGAACUAUUCUUUUUCUUUUAUUCCAUCUGAGGUGCUGAAGUAUUGUUUUCUGGGUUUUAAUUUUUAAUUCAGCCAAUAAAAAAAUUAGGAAAUUUUGGACAUAAUUUUUUUUCAUAUCCCCUUGUGGCCAUGUUAAAAAAACUUUUGUCAUCUCUUGUUCACUUUUGCGUAUUUGUCAUCAAUUACAUUACAUCUAUCUAAUGGCCUGGCUACGAAAUAUCGUAAUUAUAAUUUAUAAACUUGUUUAUUGAAUCAGUUAUUAGAUGAUAAUACCUCUGAAUAAACCCAAGAUAAGUUUUUUCCAAAAAUAAUAAUAAUACUUCGAAUAAAAAGAAAUAUUAACAACUAAAAAUGCAGAACCAUGGUGUCCUCAGCUUUCGCGCCAUUUUCGAGUUAAAAUGGAUUAACGACAACCGCCGGUGGUUCUUCCCGAAGAAGACCAAUCUGGUCGUGAUAACUUACAAAUGGGUUUUCACCUUCAAAAUUUCCCGGUGGGUUAUAAACACAAAUCGCAUAAAGGCCGCCGUUUGAACAAUCCACACGUGCGCACCCAACCUUCGUGCUAUCUCUCCACACGAUCUGCGUGUAGUGUCCACACAUUUGCCCCGGCUCACACGUGUUACCAUUAACGUCGUAGAACUUAUUUUCAUCGGCCCACACUUUGACGACAUCAAUGGGCCUCCAGUUAUUCUGUCCGGCCCAAAAUAUGUUUUCUCCGAACGGACCAUUAGAGUGAACAAGCCUGCAGUCUCCGACGCGCUGUCUCGCCCACGCACGUGCAUACGCCGCUAAUCUUCCAUCCCAUUCUAACGGCGGUUCUCCCACGCGCGCUCGUACGAGGUUAUGUGCGUAUAGAAACUCAAUGCUCGCUCUGUUUACUUUGUUACGAUGUCGUCUUCUCCCCCACCUGAAGGAGGAAUGUUUUCCGGUUAACGACAGAGCUGAUGAAGACAGAAAUCGUGAAUUUGGCGCUGACGGAGAGCUGACGGAGGUUUGUUUAGACGACUCGCUGUGAUUGAUUUGGGACGUCGCGGCACAGAGCUGAAGGAGGAAUAACGUAAUGGCGAUGAAUAUGGGAAACGGAGCUAGUAAUUCCCGUUGACGAAGCUCCAUUUUUCUAAAUAGAAAAGAAACAAAAGAGGGUAUAAUAUUUUUACAGGAGAGUUAAUUACUCAAUUGCAGGUGAAGGUGUAAUUAACUCUCCGAUAGGAUUUGUUGAGAGGGAAAACGAAUCAAUAAGUAAUUGUUUCUAUUUAUGAACGUCAAAUGUAAAUAUAUCGUUUGCAUGAGUCAACGCACGGUGAAUAUUGAAUACCGGAAUGCCGCUAAUGUUAAGUAUUGCCUAAAUGUGGUUUUAAUUUUAGUCAAAACUUAACAUUAAGGUUAAAGUAAAGGUGAGAUAUUGUUUGUUAUCCAAAAUUUGAUCCGUAAUCUGCAUUGAUCUAUAUAUAUUUCAAAGGUUAUACUAACGAUCGAUGACAACUUUCUGUUCCGAUAAGUUUGACGAUUAUGAAAAUCAUUCGAGUUUCUUUAAUUAAAAAUUGAUGCAAAGUGACUAUUAGCUUAUAUAUAUCUUUGGUAUAGUUUCCUUUAAGCUAACCAUUGGUUUAGUGUGGUUUGGUUUCCUUUUGCUUAACCAUUAGAGUAUAAAUACAUAACAAUGUAUGCUUUCUACGGUUAAUGAGAAAGUUUAUUUUCAUCAUCUUCUUUUCUUCAAUAUGGUAUCAGAGCCAAAAUGGAUCCUCCAUUGAUUCUGUUACUCGAGCUUUCUUCUUCACCAUGAGUGUUUCGAUUUCGCAGUAUCUUUCUGCUCUCUGUACUCGCUACGUGAUUCUUCUGCUCGAGUUUCUGGGAUUCGUUUCGACCGUUUUCUUCUUUGUUGUUCUUCGAUCAAGCAAACUGGUUCAUCAUUCAUUGUUCUGCUUGUGUACGUCGAUGAUAUCUUGAUAGCUUCGAACAAUGAUGAGGAUCUUACGGCACUUAAGAAGAUCUUGCAUAAGGCUUUUAUCAUCAAAGAUUUGGGGAGACCAAAGUUUUUUUUGGGAUUGGAGAUAGCUCGGAACUCUACUGGAAUCUCGGUAUGUCAAAGAAAGUAUGCUCUAGAUAUCCUUGAAGCUACAUGCAUGCUGGCUUGUAAGCCAAGUUCUAUACCGAUGGAUCCAACACUCAAGCUUACUCGCACAUCUGGAAAGCCUUUGAAGAACAUUACUCAAUACAGAGAGUUGAUUGGUCGUCUUUUAUAUUUGACCAUCACCAGACCAGAUAUCACUUAUGCAGUGAAUAAUCUGAGUCAGUUUCUCUCUUGUCCUACUGACGUUCAUCUGCAGGCUGCGUACAAGGUCUUGCGGUAUAUCAAGUCAAAUCCGGGUCAAGGCUUGUAUUAUGCUGCAGAUACAGAGCUCUGUCUCAAUGCUUUUACUGAUGCAGACUGGGCUACUUGUCCUGAAACACGACGAUCUAUCUCUGGUUACUGUGUUUAUCUUGGGACUUCGCUUAUCACAUGGAAAUCUAAGAAGCAACAGACUGUGAGCCGUAGUAGUACUGAAGCUGAAUACAGAAGCAUGGCGUUGGCUACGUGUGAACUGCUUUGGCUUGCUCAGUUACUGAGGGACUUCAAGGUCACAGUUACAGCACCAGCAAAGUUGUUAUGUGAUAACAAAUCAGCUAUGCAUAUCGCUUCUAAUCCGGUCUUUCAUGAGCGUACGAAGCACGUUGAGAUUGACUACCAUACUGUCAGAGAUCAACUGAAGCGGGGGUUCCUGAAGCUCUUUCACGUCUCUUCAUCAAAUCAGCAUGCUGAUAUACUCACCAAGCCUUUGCAUCCGGGACUUUUUCACUCUCUUCUUGCUCGGAUGUCACUUUCAAACCUCUUUAAGCCACAGUCUUAAACGGUUUGAGGGGGGUAUAUUAGCUUAUAUAUAUAUAUCUUUGGUAUAGUUUCCUUUAAGCUAACCAUUGGUUUAGUGUGGUUUGGUUUCCUUUUGCUUAACCAUUAGAGUAUAAAUACAUAACAAUGUAUGCUUUAUACGGUUAAUGAGAAAGUUUAUUUUCAUCAUCUUCUUUUCUUCAAUAGUGACCAUAACUAUUGAACUUCGUUAGAUAUAAUGUCAAGCUAUCACACUACAUCAACCACAGUGGUGAUCUUCGCAAAUAGCCAAAAUAACCACUUCAUCGGUUUGUCCCACAACAUACAGAAAACUCAAUUUACAAAUAAACUACAAUAUCUAACCGAGUGAAGACAACAUUCUAAUAUCUCUUGUUCAAGAUAAUUUGGUGAUAAAGUAGAUUAAACCCAAAAUUACUAGUAGUAGUAUUAAAGAAGUAUUCAACCCAAUAAAAUAAAUAAAAAUCGGACCACUGUCUCUAACGUGGCGCUGGAUCUUCGUUUUUGUCUGUUUAAGAAAUAAUAACACGAAAAUUCAUGUGCCCUAUUAGCCUGUAUAAUACACAUUUCCACAGUACUUUACCAAGAUUUACACAAAAAAAUAUUAAUUAGAUUUUGGACGUACUCUACCUUCCUUAAGAUCUACUAGUAUUGUAGAGUACUAGUUUCUAUAGCAUGGUCUUGAAACUUGUUUUCAUAAUCUUGAUCCGACUUAUUCCGUAAACUUGUUUGCAUAAUAAUCUUUAUAAAUCAAAUAGUAGUAUUAAAAAGUUCCAGUAAUUGUCAUUUGUUGGUUCACUAAAAGUAAAUGAAAGCUUUUGGCUAAUUAAAAAAGAUCAUGCACGCUCCCUUUGGCCCAAGAGUUGAAAAACAUUUAAGACGCUAAUAAUACAGCCGACAACACGUGAAGUUUUAUCAACACGUAUUUAAACUCAACCGCUAAAGAUUCACUUGUCCGAAAAACAAAGGUCUCGUCUAAUACAUGAAAUUUGAAAAAAGGAAACAAAGUACAUUAUCCGUACUGGAUCGGGUCGGGUCAGGAUUAAGCACAUCCUCUUGGAGCAAACCCGACUCGGGAACCCAUCAAAUCGUAAACGACCCGGAAACCCUGCUGCUGGAUGUUCCCGAUGAUGGAUAGCCCGCUCAUCGUACCGGCAAAUGCAAAGCAGAACUUGCCGUUAGUAUCCACCGGAAUCAGAUAAUUAGUCGCCGGAAGUGACACGUCAGCUCCACGGAAGUGUAGAACCACCGUCGGAACUUUAACCUCGUUUUGAUGAGAGAGAUCGAAACACGUAUCGAAGAGAGAGUAGUCCGGCGCUCGUUUCAAACUCCUGGCUCUGACCCGGAACGCGUCUCUCAUAGCAACGUAAGCGGGUCGGACCAGCCGGGUCACAGAGGUACCCGAGUCGAUAAUGACUCCACCGUUACCGAUCGGGUCGAGUUUGAAAAGAGAAGCGGCUACGCCGGGGACGCGCGUCCCUCCGACGCUUAUUCCGAGCAGCUCGACGUAGUAGAAUGUAUCAAGCUUCGGAUUCGAUAAGCUAGUUUACUCCUUGGGCAGAUCCUUAGCUUCGUAAUGUUUUGCAGUGUAUCCGAUCUACUCGACUAUAUCAACCCAAGCCAUAACGCAAAAGGGAAACAGAGUGUGGCAGCGAAGAGGAAGAGCUAUAUGAAGGUUUUACUUCUAUUUCUUUCGACAUUUCUCCACUUUAAUGGUUAAAAAUGCUUACAUGAUUGGACCUGUGUUAUUGUGUAGCUAAAGGAAAAAUCCAAUCAGAACGUUGUUUCUGAACAGUUAGCAGAAACCCCAAGGGAAAAUCAAAAGGAAAUGUCUGAAGAGGAGACAGAAGCAACUGGAUCGGAAGAUGGUCAAUCGAGCGAUGCGAAUCAGGAGACAAUUCUUGCAUCAGCUGAAGAACCACCUUCUCCUCCAGUCAUUGAUGAGGCUACUGUGGAUAAUAGUAAUUCAAUUACAUCUGCUGAAGUUUCAACUGAGACACAACACCCUGAUGGUAGUGAAGAUGGAUGGCAGCCGGUGCAUAGACCGAGAUCUGCUGGAUCAUAUGGUCGCCGGCUGAAGCAACGACGAGCAUCAAUUGGAAAGGUAUAUACCUAUCAGAAGAAAAAUGUUGAAGCUGAUAACGAUAACCCUGUUCUCCAGAAUGCUACUCAGCCGAACUCCAAAUACUACGUUCUGAAGAAGCGUACAGCGUCCUCUGCAAACUAUGGAGAUCAUCAUUCUCCCGGUAUGACAACUCAAGGCACCAAAUUUGGCAGGAAGGUAGUUAAAACCUUGGCAUAUCGGGUUAAAUCAAUGCAGCCGUCUUCUGAAAACCCCAAAACUUCAGCUGAAACAUCAGAAGAAGAUGGGUUGAAGACAGAUGCUUCUCCUGCUGUGCCAUCUGGUCUGUCUAGUAAUGUGCAAAAUGAGGCAUACCCGAAAAACUCUGUUGUAAGUCUUGGAAAAUCUCCAUCCUACAAGGAAGUAGCAUUGGCGCCACCUGGUUCCAUUGCCAAGUAUCAAGUCUGGGCUCCACAAGCCGAAGCUUCAGAUAAGCAAGAGGAGAACAAUUCUGAAGAGGGCACAUCGGUUGAGCUUACAAGGGAUGAGCAGAUGAUUACAGUGUCAGAGGAAGAGGUAAAAAAUGAAAUUUCUGCGGACGCAGAGUCUAGCAAACCUCAAGGCAAAGAAGCGAUCAAAGUAGAGUUACAAUCGUCUGAAGUGGAAUUCAAAGGGAACAAUCUGAAUGAAAAUGAAGAAUCUGGUGGGGGCAUUCAGGUGGAAGAACCAGUACUUGAAGCUAACGAAGGUGUAACCGAUAUGAUUCAUUCCACCACAGAGCAAGAAUUGAAAGAUCAGCUGGCCGCUGAUUCCGAUGAUCUGAAGGAAAAACUGGGAAUCUCUGCUACAGACUCCAGCGACGCCCCGCGAGAGUUACUGUUACCUAACAAGAAGUUAUCAGCUUCAGCUGUUCCAUUCAACCCAUCAUCACCUCCAAGUAUCAUACGUCCUACUCCAAUAGGCAUGAAUAUUGGACCGUCGUGGCCAGUGAACAUGACUCUUCAUCACGGACCUCCUCCUUUCCCAUCACCUCCUGCAACUCCAAAUUUGAUGCAGCCUAUGUCCUUUGUAUACCCUCCUCCUUACACUCAAUCAAUCCCCACAAGUACUUAUCCUGUAACCAGUGGUCCUUUCCAUCCCAAUCAGUUCCCAUGGCCUCAUAUGUCGGAGUUUGUACCAAGAACGGUUUGGCCCGCAUGCCAUCCCGUUGAGUUUU
rnacentral:lncRNA from 1 species